rnacentral:rRNA from 1 species
GAGAGGACCGGAGUGGACGCAUCACUGGUGUUCGGGUUGUCAUGCCAAUGGCACUGCCCGGUAGCUAAAUGCGGAAGAGAUAAGUGCUGAAAGCAUCUAAGCACGAAACUUGCCCCGAGAUGAGUUCUCCCUGACCCUUUAAGGGUCCUGAAGGAACGUUGAAGACGACGACGUUGAUAGGCCGGGUGUGUAAGCGCAGCGAUGCGUUGAGCUAACCGGUACUAAUGAACCGUGAGGCUUAACCUUACAACGCCGAAGGUGUUUUG